rnacentral:tRNA from 12 species
GGUUCAAGUCCCUCUAUCCCCAAAAGCUUUUUUCACUCCUUAA